rnacentral:lncRNA from 13 species
AUGGAGGUACCGGCAGCUUUUUGGUGGCCUGCGAUGAUGGGGUGGGAGGAGGGGAGCGCAGCAUCCUCCAGGGGUGCCGGGGCUGGAGAAGUGCGGGAUCCUCCUGGGGGUCCUGGGGAGGGGAGAGCAGCAUCCUCCGGGGACUACCGGCGUAGGGAAGUGCAGCAUCCUCCCGCGCCUCCCGGGGAAGGGAGCGCAGCAUCCUCCGGAGGGUGCCCGGGCAGGGGGGAAAGCGGAGCAUCCUCCCCGGGGGAUAGGCGGAGCAUCCUCCCGAGGGUCCCCGGGCCGGGGGAGCGCAGCAUCCUCCCGAAGGUGCCCGGGGGGGCCCGGCGCUGCGUGGACCAGCGCGAACGCAUGCGUGCGGUGCGGGCUCCCCCCGCCUGUGCCCCCCCGGUCUCGCCUCAGGAAACCGGCUGGCGGCCGCGGGCCGGCGCCGGGGGAGGCGAGGGGUUAACCGGGGUGGGGGCAUCCCGGGCCGAGAGGUGUGAAUUCCGCCCGCUCUCCCCCCUGCCUCCCCCCCGUCGCCGCUAUAAGAGCGGCCGGCGCGGGCUGGGGGGAGCCACUGCGGCGGCUCCUCCUCGCUGGAAGCCCCGGCGCUUUUGGCUGCCCUUUGAAGUCGGAGAGGGAGAAGGAGGGAGGGAGCGUCUGGGGCCGCCGCUGCUCCGCUCCGCGCCGCCGCCGCUCCCGCCCGGCCCCGGAGCAUCGUCCUGCCCGGCCCCGCCGCCGUCAGGUACGGCCCGUCCCGUCCUGUCCUGUCCUGUCCCGUCCUGUCUCACCCUGUCCCGUCCUGUCCGUCCCAUCCCGGCCCCGCGGGGGUCUCAUUCCGCCGGACCCUUCCCCGCUGCCCGCCCCGCGGCGAUGGAGCCCCGCAUCCCGGCUCCGCAUCCCGGCUCCGCAUCCCCGCCCCGCAUCGCCCUCCCGCCGCCCGUGCGGGGCUGCCCCGGUACCGGCUCCGCGAUGCUGCUCGGCGACAUCCCUGCCCCCUCCCUCAAUUUUCCUCCUACAUUUAACCACGCAGCCCCGAGCGCCUGUAGGAUAAACUCCGAGCGCGCUCUGGUAUUGGCUUCGAGUCAGGAGUGUCUGGGAGCCUUAAUGAGAACCAAGUGUAAGGCAAGGCUCAGCCACCUGUCCGCGGGAUCCCCGGCCAAGCGCUCCGGGCUCCCAUUAAUCAAUGGAUCUGCCUCUUGGAAAGUCUCUUUAGCAUGCUGGACCUCUCCCCCAGGGCGAUUACAGAGCGGAUUUGGGGACCUGGAAGCCCUCUGGUAA